GACAGAGGUGCCGAGCGUUAGGCGGAAUCACUGGGCUUAAAGCGUGUGUAGGCGGAUCGUUAAGUACCUUGUGAAAUCCCACGGCUUAACCGUGGAACUGCUGGGUAUACUGGCGAUCUUGAGCCACCUAGGGGCAACCGGAACAAAUGGUGGAGCGGUGAAAUGCGUAGAUAUCUGGAGGAACACCGGUGGCGAAGGCGGCAUCCUGGACCGGCAUUGACGCUGAGGCGCGAAAGCCAGGGGAGCAAACGGG
rnacentral:rRNA from 1 species